GUUCUGCUGUCUGACAUACUAGUACUGAAUGGCUGGAGGGAGGUUCUGCUGUCUGACAUACUAGUACUGAAUGGCUGGAGGGAGGUUCUGCUGUCUGACAUACUAGUACUGAAUGGCUGGAGGGAGGUUCUGCUGUCUGACAUACUAGUACUGAAUGGCUGGAGGGAGGUUCUGCUGUCUGACAUACUAGUACUGAAUGACUGGAGGGAGGUUCUGCUGUCUGACAUACUAGUACUGAAUGGCUGGAGGGAGGUUCUGCUGUCUGACAUACUAGUACUGAAUGACUGGAGGGAGAUUCUGCUGUCUGACAUACUAGUACUGAAUGGCUGGAGGGAGGUUCUGCUGUCUAACAUACUAGUACUGAAUGGCUGGAGGGAGGUUCUGCUGUCUGACAUACUAGUACUGAAUGGCUGGAGGGAGGUUCUGCUGUCUGACAUACUAGUACUGAAUGACUGGAGGGAGGUUCUGCUGUCUGACAUACUAGUACUGAAUGGCUGGAGGGAGGUUCUGAUGUCUGAAUGGCUGGAGGGAGGUUCUGCUGUCUGACAUACUAGUACUGAAUGGCUGGAGGGAGGUUCUGCUGUCUGACAUACUAGUACUGAAUGACUGGAGGGAGGUUCUGCUGUCUGACAUACUAGUACUGAAUGACUGGAGGGAGGUUCUGCUGUCUGACAUACUAGUACUGAAUGACUGGAGGGAGGUUCUGCUGUCUAACAUACUAGUACUGAAUGGCUGGAGGGAGGUUCUGCUGUCUGACAUACUAGUACUGAAUGGCUGGAGGGAGGUUCUGCUGUCUGACAUACUAGUACUGAAUGACUGGAGGGAGGUUCUGCUGUCUGACAUACUAGUACUGAAUGGCUGGAGGGAGGUUCUGAUGUCUGAAUGGCUGGAGGGAGGUUCUGCUGUCUGACAUACUAGUACUGAAUGGCUGGAGGGAGGUUCUGCUGUCUGACAUACUAGUACUGAAUGACUGGAGGGAGGUUCUGCUGUCUGACAUACUAGUACUGAAUGGCUGG